AGAUCCAUCUGAAGAGUGUUCUGGUUUUCCAAAAGAAGGAAAAUUUAAAUUGGCUGAAGACCUUGCUCAUCAAAUCCCUCCUAAGACGGAGGCAAAUGAGGCUCGAAGAAGUGAAGGCAUUUGCCCUAAAUCACACAGACUGUUCUUAAGUGGCCAAGUCAGAUCUGCCUCCAAGUUCGUCCCCCUCCACUCGGCCGCAGCUCCCUCCUGUUAAUGGACUCGACGUGCAGAGUGUUUUUGCAUCGUAAAGUAUGAGAAGCUCCAUAAAUAUAAAAUGUUUGUAGUCCCAGACGUGCCAGCUCAGAUCCCACUUAAAUUGACUCUGGGUAGCUCUUCCCUCAGCCCCGAUCCUCAUAAGCUCCAAUAUAUAUUUCCUUAGUCCCCUGGGGUUUUCCAUUCUGUGCCCCAACAAUCCCCAGCCUUUCAUUAGUGAUGCCUAGGUGUCUCCACAUGGUUCAAGGGGUGCCAGAAAGUCUCCAGACAAAAUAAAAUGCGCCAUAAAACACCAAGGGCAUAAAACUCUA